CAGCACCUCAAGUGGUCAGGAUGAUUAUUGGGCCUAAAGCAUCCGUAGCCGGCGCUGUAAGUUUUCGGUUAAAUCUGUACGCUCAACGUACAGGCUGCCGGGAAUACUGCAGCGCUAGGGAGUGGGAGAGGUAGACGGUACUCGGUAGGAAGGGGUAAAAUCCUUUGAUCUAUUGAUGACCACCUGUGGCGAAGGCGGUCUACCAGAACACGUCCGACGGUGAGGGAUGAAAGCUGGGGGAGCAAACCGGAUUAGAUACCCGAGUAGUUCC
rnacentral:rRNA from 1 species